GAGGUGCCAAAAAGAAUCCCUCAAUGUCCUCUCACACUAAAGCUCUCAAAAACCUAACGAUGUGGCUUAUGUUUUUCACUGAAACUUGAAGGAGAAGAGCUCGACUUCCAUCCUCUUUCCAACUACUCAACAAAGCAGCCACACAUAUACAAAAUAGAAGAAUGUAGUAGAAAGAGGAGAAAGAAGACUCACCGGAUCUCAAACUUCCUCAAAGCUCAUACUUGCACCACCGUGCGCAGCUCCGUCACCGCUGUCGAAGCAAGCGGCCGCUGCCAUCGAUUUGUUCGAAAGCUUCAUUUCUCCAACUCUCCCAUUCCAUAUUUGGAUUGAGGGUAGUGAAAGGAGUCGGGUUGUGUUCUUUUAAGGAGCUCUGUCGAGGCCGCUGCCGUAGGGCAAUUUCCAGCGCGAGAUUAAGACGGAUUAUAAAAGGGAAAACGAAACCCUAGUUGUGAAAAAACGAUUUGCAGACAUAUUCUCCAAUGACGCUGUCUACUACUCGGGAUUUUUGGACUCUAAGAUACACUACAAAUUUUGAGAAUGGAAGUAUUGUGGUGAGUAUAGUUGUUGUCACUCUAAUGCAUUACUAUUGGGAAGAUGAUAUUUUAUUGCACUUUGUAAGGUUUGUGAAAGGUCUCUGUCUGGUUCUGGUACUGGUCCUA